GCACACUUUCCCCCCUUGACCCUCUCUUGCGGUUUUCUGGGGUGCUUUGAUGUCUAUCCAGUUUACCGACAACCCCAGUGAACCGCAAGACGGGUCGUUGAAACAUGGUUUUACUUUGCUUGCCCUCUCCUAAUUACGCCACGUCAGGUAAUUGGGUUAAAAAAGCGUUUCCCCAAUACAAAUAUUCGUACGUUUCUAAUCUCCAAGAAGAGCCAAGAUCUUUUAUUCUCAAAAGCACUAAUAUUCAAUAAAAGGAAGCAAUCGUCCUUCAUACUACACCUGCAUUUCCUCUUUUUGAUAACGUCUGUGACUUUGCCCGAUCUAUUUCGUGUGAAGUUUACAUUGUUCGCUUAUCCUUUAUAUUUCGCUUAUCGAAUCGAAAGAUAGAUAAAAAAUUUAUCGAUUCGAAAGAUGGAUAGACUUUUAGAUAUUUUUCACUUGUUUAUAGUAAACAGUCUCGACUAUAUGAGCAAAUUAUGGCCGGUGACAAUUCUAAAGAAUUAAUGCAAAUUCAUCAUGCAAUAGACUUUAAAAUUGAAAACUUCAGUAAUUCUGAUGAGUACAAAAAGGUCGGUGCCUCUUUUAGUCAUAAGAAAACUUCUUUUAACCAGUUUUUCCGUAUAGAAGUGUAUCCGAACGGAAUAAGCCCUAAAUACCGAGGAUAUAUUUCUGUGAAGAUUUCAAAAUUUCCGGCACAAAUGGAUUUGGAUAACACAUAUCAUUCUUGGAUGCUGAGUGUUGUUGACGUGAAUGGAAGUGAUAAGUGCCGCCAGUCUUUUGUAAAAGAAAAUAUUAAAGGGUUUUCUUAUAAUGAGGUCAUACCGGACUUUCUGAUGCGUACUUUUCUGCUAAACCAAGCUGAUGAACUCUUAUCUAAAGACGUGCUUACAAUCCGAUGCGAAAUGAUUGAAACUGACUGCACAAGUUCAAGCGAACAUUUUGCUCUCCAAACCUCCUCUAGUUAUGAUUAUCUUGAGUCUUUCGUGCAAGAAGAGAAAGAAAGUAGCGACAUAAAACCUUUAGCUGAGUCGAAUACCAAUUACGCUGGAAAUUUCGGUAAUGCCCGAAUAGAGCUUGAGAUAUAUAAAAUAAUUUCAUCAGUAGCGGAUUUAAAUUUGCAUAUGUGCGGUUUCUUUUACAUGAAUGCAUCUUAUCAUGAAAGGUUGAAAAAUAUGCUAGCGGAAUUUGACGCAGUAGAUGAAGUAAGGCAAACGUACUUGAGUUCACACAAAGUCUUUUGUGAUUACUUAAUUACAAAAGAAAAAUGUAGAAAAAUUCUGUCAAAGAAACCUAAUGACACUUGUAUUAAAAAUUUACUUCGUUUGAUCGAUCUAGAAAGCAGCAAUGAUAGCGAAACGUUGAGGACUACACAAAUGAUUCCAGGAUCUACGGAUGUGGAAAAUAAAUGCCCUUCUGAAAUAGUUGGCCAAGAAGAUUUCUUAGGUCACAAAAAUGAAGAAAUUGAAAGAAUUACUGAAUUAAAUCUGCCUUUUGACAUUGAUAGUCGUUGGGUUUUCGAAAGAUGUUUAACUAUGUUUGAGUACUGCAAAGAUGAGAUGGGAUCUGUCUUGGAACGUCUUGAAUUUGAUAAUGAUUCUAAAAUUAUGAGUGAAGAAGGUGAAUAUAAAAAAGAAGAAACAACACAAAUUACUCCAGGGCCUUUGAAUGAUGAAGAUAAAUGUUGUUCUGAUAUGGUCGGUGAAUGUUUUUCAAAUCAAGAAGAUGCAGAAAAUAAAAGAACUAUUGAAACAGUUCAACCUUUUGACUUUCACCACAGUAUUUCUCCGAACUCUGAGCCGUGUUGCAGCUCCCCAUCGGUUGAACCCUUUGGUUUUGAGAAACAUCCGUCUACUGAAGAGCCAAAUUGCACUCUCAAGAAGCUCAAAGAAAGAAUGCUAUACAUAUUGAAAGAACAGGAAUUCGAUGAUGAUUCUAAGAAUAUGUGUUCAGAAGAAGAAUUUGAAAUGCAGAGAACAACACAAAUGACUUCAGGACCUUUGAAUGAUGGAAAUAAACAGUUCUCUGGAAUAGUUGGACAGCAAUGGUUCUUAACUCAUGAAGAAGAGAAAAGUACUCCUGAAACUGAUCAAUCUUUUGACAUUGAAAGGGAUCCGCUUUAUAAAAAGCUUAAAAACUUUGUUUUGGAUAUCGAUGAAACGAUAAAAUGUUUAUUACAAAAUCAAAAUUCUGAUAACAGUUCUAAGAAUGUUGAUGAAGGAGAAUGUGAAAGAGGGAGAACAGAACAAAUGACAUCAGAGCAUUCUAAUAAUAUUGGAGUAGUUGGACACGAAUGUCUUAUAGAUAAUAAAGACAGGGAAAUUGAAAUGACUGUUGUAAAAGAUCUACCUCUUGAUCUGCUUAUUGAAAGGGUUCAAAACAAUACUCUAAAACACUAUGAAAAAGUGAUUGCAUUUUUAUUGAAUGUGGAAGAAAGUCUCAGCAAAAGUGAAGAUGUAUGCGAAAGAGAUGCAACAAUGCAGAUGAUAUCAGUGCUUCCCAAUAUUAAAGGAAAAUGUUUUUUUAAAACAAUUCGAGAAAUAUGUGAAGCUUUAGUGGUAAUAAUGAAAGACCCUAAUUCUUUUAUUAGUAAAUAUUACGAAAAAAGUGAAAGAACUACUCCUGAUUUUGAAAUUACAUCGUUUGAUAAAGAAAACUUCAGUCGACGUUUACCAGAAGAAAGUGAAUCUGGUGAUGAUUCUACCAUCGAGAACCAAACUAAAUGGAGCAUUUGUAUUGAAACUAUGGACGACAUAACAUUCACUAUUCCUUUCGAAGAUGCUAAAGACACACUUGGUUCUAAACUCAUCUCUAUUUCUAAGGUCUUCGAAAGAAUGCUGACACUUCCUAUGCGGGAGAAGCUUGAAAAAAAAGUAAAACUUAUUGAUGUAGAUUGUGGCACAUUCAUUAAUUUUUUAUACUUUUUGCAAAUGAAAGAUGUCAAAGUUGAAACUCUUUCUGAAUGGUGCGAUAUUUAUGAAUUAGCGGAUAAAUACAAUGUCGAAGAGUUGAUGUUAUUAUGUGUUGAGCGAAUGCAACCUUUCUUCUCAUCCAGUAAUAUCGAUGAAGUAGAGAAUCUUGCUUUUCUACAUUCUGAUGAGCAUCUCUUAGAGCUAAUGAAAUUAUUCAAAGAUCAAAUACCUGACUUGUAUAGGAAUUGAAUGAAGGCAAGGAAAUACUUUUGGAUUAAAACUCGACAUCUCAAGCACAAGCAAAAAAACAGGAAUAUGAUUUUUGAGUUUUAUCUAUAUCCAUCCGCCUUUGGUGAUCAGUUUGUUUGUCUGGGAUUCUGAGUUUCCUGGUUGUUAAAACAUUAAUAUGGAAUGCAUUGAUUAAGGAUUUCAUGUUAUUUGAUAAGACAGCAAAAAAUGAAUUUAAUGGAAUCAUUUUACUACAGCGCAUGCAAAAUACCCAUGAAGAUACAGAAAAUCAAAAGGAUUCUGUUACAGAUAAUGAUAUCAUGGAUAAUCCAUAUCUUAGACCAGCAAAAUUACAAAGAAAAAGAAGGAAAUGAAUGCUGAAAACAAUUGCUUUAUUGCUCGUCAUACAUUUGUAUUUUAUUCGAUUUCAUAUGUGAAUAAGUUCAUUAUUAAUAAGAUUUUAUAUUUUUUAAAAAGA